UUUAAUAUUUUCAGGUGGUGUUUCCGAAUUUUGCUUAUAUCACCGUUAAUGAUUGUUGUAGUUGUAACAGUACGACUGUGGCUGAUAGUUCUUUCCUGGGGAAAAACCAUUUGAUGCAGCUGUCGCUGAGUUGACAAUCUUUGGCCGACGCGGGUCGUUCCGGAAUGAAGAUCCAAUUGUUUCGAACUCUUUUUUAAUAGAAUUAUUCAAGAUUCAAAUCUCGUAAAUAUUUGAUAUCAUUUGAAAACUGAUUUCAACAUACAUAUGUAAACACAAACAUGUCCAUGUUGAAUCGACUAAAUCGAUUUCAACAUUAUUUUUAAAUCCUUCCGAUUCGAAAAAUGUUCAUAUGUCCUUAAUUUACUCCCCCUUUAAUUAUUUGUAUCGCAACAUUGCCACAUUGAUUAAAAUGCAACUCUUCAACUAUCAGAAUAACGAUCCCUGCUCUAUUUGUCAAAGUAGUUUUUUUCUCUCUUAUAAAUAAAAAGUACCGUUAUAUUUUACAAGUGCAAAAAAGUGUAUUUUUAUUAAUCAUUUUUAUAAUUAAAGAAUAUUUUACACAAUUUACUUCAAAUAACAAAAAAUAUAUCAAAUUUUAACUCAAACAUUUCUAAACGAUGGCAGAAUUUGAAUUUUCAUUUACUUUCGAUGAGGGCAACUAUGAAAAUGAUUUCAGUGGUGAUCUAUAUGAUUUUGAAAACAUGUGGCAAGAUAUCGCUGAAGAGUUGCGACAAAAAGAUGAAAACGAUCAAUUUCAACAAAUGUUUCAUCAAAAGUUACACAUUGACCCAAACUAUGAAAAGGUCUGCCAUCAAAGAGAACGUUAUAUUUGAAGCGAUUUAUUUAUCUUACAAGUUUUUUUUAUAUCUUUUUUGUUAUUUUUUUUUAUUUAUUUUAUUUAAAUAACUUUUGCCUAACUAUGACUAUUAUUUUAUUUUAUUUAAAAUGUUGUUUAUAGUUUUAUAUUUAUGUUUUUUUCUAAGAAAUAUUUUAAAAGACUUCAACUGGUUUGAAUGUUAAUUAUUUUUAUUUUAAAGAAUUUAAAUUUUCACUUUAUUGUGAUAAAAUAUUUAAUUCGUUAUUUUAUUGUAAAUAUUUGAUAAUCGUUUUAUUGCUUUUUUUUGCAAAACAAACUGUUAUCGUUUAAUUAAUUGUUGAAAAAUAAUUAUUUUAUUAUUAAUAUUCUUUUAAAAAUUAACGUUUUAACUGUUUCAACUCUCAAAUAUGAGACAAUUUUAAAUAUUUUAUAUUUAUGUUUUAUUUAUUUAAAAAACAUAUUAUUCUUUGAAGUUUUGUUUAUUGGCUAAUUUCAAAAUUGUAUUUGGCUAAAUGUAUUUUUAAAUGUAUGCAAUUAUGUAUUCUUAAUUGUUUUAAAACAUUCUUUUAAUAACAAAACAAAUUUUUUAUAUAAUUUUAUUUGUAUUAACAAGUUUUUAACUAAAACUAAAAAGGUUCGAUUUCAUCUAAAAAAUUUCAUGUAAUAAAAGUAAAACCAUGAAACAUUUCAGAACAAAUUCAUGGAAUUUCAUAACAAAACAAAACUUUAUUUUAAACAUAUUCAUCAUAUUGAUGAUGCCGGCCAAUAAUCCAUAUUUCUUGUAUUUAUUAGAUAAUUCUAUAUCUUGAAAUUCAAAGUUCAAAAUGAUCUAUUUCGUGUUUUGACUUUUUAUUUAAAAGUUAUUCUAAACAUAAACGUCUUUCAUCCUAUAUCGUGGUAUAUAUGUAUGUAUCUUGUUAUAUAUUAUUUGCAAUUAUUUUGUAUAUAUGAAAUCGAACUUAAUUUCAAUCUUAAGUUAAAUUUAAUGUUAACUUUUGACUUUGAUUAUAUAAGAAAGCUUGUAAAUUUUUAAUAUUUUAAAUAAAUGCCUUUUUAAACUAUUUUUUUAAAA